rnacentral:rRNA from 1 species
CUCAAUCUGGGAACAGCGCUUGAUACUGUUGGUCUAGAGUUCGGGAGAGGAUGGUGGAAUUCCCAGUGUAGAGGUGAAAUUCGUAGAUAUUGGGAAGAACACCAGUGGCGAAGGCGGCCAUCUGGACCGAUACUGACGCUGAGGCGCGAAAGCGUGGGGAGCAGACAGGAUUAGAUACCCUGGUAGUCCACGCCGUAAACGAUGUGUGCUAGAUGUCGGGCAGCUUGCUGUUCGGUGUCGCAGCUAACGCAUUAAGCACACCGCCUGGGGACUACGACCGCAAGGUUAAAACUCAAAGGAAUUGACGGGGGCCCGCACAAGCGGUGGAGCAUGUGGUUUAAUUCGAUGCAACGCGCAGAACCUUACCAGCCCUUGACAUCCCGGUCGCGGUUUCCAGAGAUGGUUACCUUCAGUCUGCUGGACC